CUAUAGGCCAGUAAGCCUUACUUCAGUAGUGGGGAAAGUAAUGGAAACCAUGUUAAAAGAUAGGAUUGUUGAACAUCUAAAAUCACAUGGAUUUCAAGAUCAGAGACAACAUGGGUUUACUUCAGGGAGAUCAUGCCAAACUAAUCUCAUUGAUUUUUUUGAUUGGGUAACUAAAAUAAUAGAUCAGGGUGGUACAGUAGACAUUGCUUACCUAGAUUUCAGUAAGGCUUUUGACACUGUUGCACAAAGAAGGCUUAUCAAUAAAUUGCAAUCUUUAAGUUUGGAUUCCAAUAUUGCUGAAUGGGUAAGGCAGUGGCUGAGUGACGGGCAACAGAGGGUUAUAGUCGAUGGAGUAUAUUCAAAGCAUGCUUUUGUAAC